rnacentral:rRNA from 1 species
UAUGGCUCCUUAGAUCGCACUUACUACUUGGAUAACUGUGGUAAUUCUAGAGCUAAUACAUGCGCAGAGCCCCAACCCUCGUGGAAGGGGCGCUUUUAUUAGAUCAAAGCCAAUCGAGUUUCGGCUCGUUUCUUUGGUGACUCUGAAUAACUUUGCUGAUCGCAUGGUCUUGUACCGGCGACGUAUCUUUCAAGUGUCUGCCUUAUCAACUUUCGAUGGUACGUUAUGCGCCUACCAUGGUUGUAACGGGUAACGGGGAAUUAGGGUUCGAUUCCGGAGAGGGAGCCUGAGAAACGGCUACCACA